rnacentral:rRNA from 1 species
CACGGGGGGAGCAAGCGUUGUUCGGAAUCACUGGGCGUAAAGGGCGUGUAGGCGGUCAAGUAAGUGGAAUGUGAAAGCCCCCGGCUUACUCGGGGAUCUGCAUCCCAAACUGCUUGGCUUGAGUACGGGAGAGGAUAGGGGAAUUCCUGGUGUAGCGGUGAAAUGCGUAGAUAUCAGGAGGAACACCGGUGGCGAAGGCGCCUAUCUGGCCCGAUACUGACGCUGAGGCGCGAAAGCUAGGGGAGCAAACAGG